CGGGAGCUAAAAUAGCCGCGAACACGUGGAAGUCCCGAAAUGGCGGCGGUGCAUAUCGUUCGUGCAGAACUUUUGUCGAACAUGCCCAGCAAGCAGGGAUUUAAAGUAUUCAUAAUGGGCAACGGGGUGGUCACGUUACAGUAGUUUUACCUACCGAAUGCCAUAGGGAAAGCUAACAUGAAAGAAGGGAAUACAAAUUGUCAUUUUAAAGCAAAAUAGGGGAAUUUCUUCACACAUACUAAAUGCUGAGUAAAUGUACUCUAGCGUUUAUGGUACCUAACGUGUUAUUUAAGGAAAU